rnacentral:rRNA from 1 species
AUGAACGCUGGCGGCGUGCCUAAUACAUGCAAGUCGCGCGAACAGACGAGGAGCUUGCUCCUCUGACGUUAGCGGCGGACGGGUGAGUAACACGUGGAUAACCUACCUUUAAGACUGGGAUAACUUCGGGAAACCGGAGCUAAUACCGGAUAAUAUAUUGAACCGCAUGGUUCAAUAGUGAAAGACGGUUUUGCUGUCACUUAUAGAUGGAUCCGCGCCGCAUUAGCUAGUUGGUAAGGUAACGGCUUACCAAGGCAACGAUGCGUAGCCGACCUGAGAGGGUGAUCGGCCACACUGGAACUGAGACACGGUCCAGACUCCUACGGGAGGCAGCAGUAGGGAAUCUUCCGCAAUGGGCGAAAGCCUGACGGAGCAACGCCGCGUGAGUGAUGAAGGUCUUCGGAUCGUAAAACUCUGUUAUUAGGGAAGAACAAAUGUGUAAGUAACUAUGCACGUCUUGACGGUACCUAAUCAGAAAGCCACGGCUAACUACGUG